CGCGAAUCGCCCUUCGGGGUGCAGCAGGCGCGAAAACUUUACAAUGCGGGAAACCGUGAUAAGGGGACACCGAGUGCCAGCAUCAUAUGCUGGCUGUCCAGGUGUGUAAAAUACACCUGUCAGCAAGGGCCGGGCAAGACCGGUGCCAGCCGCCGCGGUAACACCGGCGGCCCGAGUGGUGAUCGUGAUUAUUGGGUCUAAAGGGUCCGUAGCCGGUUUGGUCAGUCCUCCGGGAAAUCUGACGGCUCAACCGUUAGGCUUUCGGGGGAUACUGCCAGGCUUGGAACCGGGAGAGGUAAGAGGUACUACAGGGGUAGGAGUGAAAUCUUGUAAUCCCUGUGAGACCACCUGUGGCGAAGGCGUCUUACCAGAACGGGUUCGACGGUGAGGGACGAAAGCUGGGGGCACGAACCGGAUUAGAUACCCGGGUAGUCCCAGCCGUAAACGAUGCUCGCUAGGUGUCAGGCAUGGCGCGACCGUGUCUGGCGCCGCAGGGAAGCCGUGAAGCGAGCCACCUGGGAAGUACGGCCGCAAGGCUGAAACUUAAAGGAAUUGGCGGGGGAGCAC
rnacentral:rRNA from 1 species